rnacentral:rRNA from 1 species
UACGUAGGGGGCUAGCGUUGUCCGGAAUCAUUGGGCGUAAAGCGCGCGUAGGCGGCCCGGUAAGUCCGCUGUGAAAGUCAAAGGCUCAACCUUUGAAUGUCAGCGGAUACUGUCGGGCUAGAGUCCGGAAGAGGCGAGUGGAACUCCUGGUGUAGCGGUGGAAUGCGCAGAUAUCAGGAAGAACACCAACGGCGAAGGCAGCUCGCUGGGACGGAACUGACGCUAAGGCGCGAAAGCGUGGGGAGCGAACAGG